GCUGGGCACAGUGGUGUUCAUCUGUAAUCCCAGUGACUUGGGAGGCUGAGGCAGGAGGAUUGCAAGUUCGAAACCAGCCUCAGCAAUUUAGCAAGACCCUAAGCAAUUUAGUGAGACCCUGUCUUUU
rnacentral:sRNA from 1 species